GUGCCAGCAGCCGCGGUAAUACGGGGGGGGCAAGCGUUGUUCGGAAUUACUGGGCGUAAAGGGCUCGUAGGUGGCCACCUAAGUCCGACGUGAAAUCCCUCGGCUCAACCGGGGAACUGCGUCGGAUACUGGGUGGCUUGAAUCCGGGAGAGGGACGUGGAAUUCCAGGUGUAGCGGUGAAAUGCGUAGAUAUCUGGAGGAACACCGGUGGCGAAGGCGGCGUCCUGGACCGGUAUUGACACUGAGGAGCGAAAGCCAGGGGAGCAAACGGGAUUAGAAACCCUCGUAGUCC
rnacentral:rRNA from 1 species